GCGAUGAGCUCUGCAGUUGCGGGGCUGACGGUGAUUGCCAUCCUAUCAUGGUCCCAUAAGACAUCGCCGAUAGAUUCACUGCGAAGAAUAUGGCAAUUAUCCAUCACUCACAUUGAAGAGUAUUAAUUAUUUAUUGGAAGAUAUCGACGCAUCACACGUACAGUACAUAUCUCCCGCCCUAUUUUAUGAAAAAA